AGAAUUCAACCAUAUCUUCAGCUCUCUUGUUAGACGUAGGUAUGAAAAAUUAUCUCCUAGAUUAUUUGGGCCUUAUAAAGUGGUGCGGUGUGUUGGACUACUAGGUUAUGAGUUGGCACUUCUUGAUUCUACCAAAGUCCAUCCCGUUUUUCAUAUGUUUGUGUUGUGACCUGCUUAUGGGAAACACUUAACCACACAUUUGCGUCUUCUUCCCAUUAAUUCUGAUUGGGAACUCAUAUUAUCCCCUGCCAAAAUCCUGGGGCAUUGUUGGGUUAUGCAAGGAGGGGUUUCUACUUUGAAAUUUUUGGUACAAUGGUCUGAAGGCCCAGUUGAAGAAGCAAGCUGGGAGAAAUAUGAUUUAUUGGCUGAACAAUUCCCAUCAUUCUACCUUGAGGACAAGGCAAGUUUCCAAGGAGGAAGCAAUGACACGAUGCCACCCGUACUUACCUACUUUAGAAGAAAAUCUAAUAUUAAUCAAUAUUUUGCUAAAGACCAAGUCAAACUCCUUCAAUUAAUUGGCAGAAGUUGUGCAGAGUGGGAAGGAGUUAUUGACCAAGUGGAGGAAACUUCUCCUUGAAAGAAAAUUCCUAUCUCCAACUUCAAAAUUAGUUAUUCAGUUUUCUUAUUUCAAGCUUUUAGUUAUAAGCAAUAUGGUUUGUUUAUAUUCCUCUAAGAUUAUUUGGAGAAUAGUGUGGGUCCCAUCCAAAAAGUCUAGGGAGAAAAAGAGAGACCUAACCUCAUUUUCUCUCCCUAUUUCCGGGUGGUGUCGACGGCGAAGAUGGAGAAAGGCCUCAUCAUCAAGGGUUUUGUAUCACUUUUAUUGUUGAGGUCAAGAGUAGGGUUAAAUGGUGGACAGCUUAGCGGCGCCGUUGAGCAAGUCACCGUCUAGUAAUUAACAAGUUAAUAAACUCCCUUUCCUGUGGACUUAAAUAAUACUGUCUUUGUUUAAUUGUUAUGUCAAACAUUGUUAUGUUUCCUUUGUUUUUUGAAUUAGUACCUUUGUUAGAUGUUGUUCGCUAAUGUGAGACAGGUUUUGAGCCCUUGUGUGUCUUGGUUACGGCCUUGUAGGUAUACAGCCUUUUGUCGACGCUUCAGGCUCGGACAGUGACAAAUAGUGACUCAAGCAUUUGUACUUUCUAUUAGGAGAAUUGUCCUAUGCACAUGGGCACACUUAUUGAAGAAUUAUUGUGUUUAAGAUCCUUACACUUGUUUUGCCAAUAACUCUUCUCACUACAUUCUUUUUAUA